UCCGGUUUGACACCGGCAGUCCCCCUAGAGUGCCCGGCUUUACCCGCUGGCAACUAGAGACGAGGGUUGCGCUCGUUGCGGGACUUAACCCAACAUCUCACGACACGAGCUGACGACAGCCAUGCAGCACCUGUGUGUAGGUCCCGUAAGGGAAGGAAUCCAUCUCUGGAAACCGUCCUGCCAUGUCAAGGGCUGGUAAGGUUCUUCGCGUUGCUUCGAAUUAAACCACAUGCUCCGCUGCUUGUGCGGGUCCCCGUCAAUUCCUUUGAGUUUUAGCCUUGCGGCCGUACUCCCCAGGCGGGGCACUUAAUGCGUUAGCUACGGCGCGGGAGGAGUCGACACCUCCCACACCUAGUGCCCAUCGUUUACGGCGUGGACUAC
rnacentral:misc_RNA from 1 species